GACGGAGGGGGCAAGCGUUGUCCGGACUUACUGGGAGUAAAGGGCCCGUAGGCGGCCUGAUGCGUCGGUGCUGAAAGCGCCCCGCUUAACGGGGUGAGGCGUGCCGAUACGAUCAGGCUCGAGGCAGGCAGAGGGUGGCGGAAUUCCGGGUGUAGUGGUGAAAUGCGUAGAGAUCCGGAGGAACGCCUGUGGCGCAAGCGGCCACCUGGGCCUGACCUGACGCUGAGGGGCGAAAGCGUGGGGAGCAAACCGG
rnacentral:rRNA from 1 species